CGGCGAAGAGCUGGGAUAGAGCUCGCCUUGGCUCUGCUGGCCUCGGCUGCAGCCUCCCCGAAGACGUCAGCUCCCGCAUGAGAGUGCCUCACCUGGAUCUCUCUUCAGGGAUGACAUCAUCGAUUCACCACAGUCUUCAAGGACCGCCUGCUCUGGAUGCCAAGCUGCUGCCCAGGUGCUGACUGCGGUACCUGCUGCUGUCUCCACCUCCUGGUCUAAGAAGCUUGGAUGCCUGGAACCCACCAGCAUACAGAUCCCCAAGAUCCCUAGGACCAGGACAGCGAGGGAUAGGAUGAAGAGGAUCAGCACUGACCAAUUCUUCUCCCUCUGGACACAGGCCUUGAACCAAUGCCCUAGUGAGGGGGCAUUGGUCAUGACCCCUGACCUUUGCUCUGCUUGUGUCUUGACUUUGAGCCCUUCUGUUUGUCUCUGCUUGUGUCAUCUGCCAGCGAACUGGAGUGCCUCCCUCCCCAAGGGGGUUCAGUCCCUUGUGACUGACCACGUUGUUGUCCUUACAGUGUCCUGAAUGGAAGGAUCCCUUUGGGAGCCUCUCAGGAGGGGGACCUGGGCCAAGGGCCACCAGCAUUGUGCUGGCAACUGUGGGGGUGGGGGUGGGGUGCUUCUGGAAUGAGCAUGUGGCUGACCCCUGAAGGCAUGCCCACCCCCUUGGAUAUGUCCCUUCCUUUUUAGGGGAAUGGGGACAUUAGGAGCAACCUCCUAGGGUUGUUGUGAGAAUUAAGUGACAUACAGAAGCCUGAGGCAGGGCUGGGCAGAGGCCAUCGGCAAAUGUUUGUUGAAAAGGUUUGUAGGUGAAUCCAUUCCCACCCACUGGUUGUCUUAACUUGUCUUAAUUAUUCUCCAACAGACUCCUGCAGCCCCUGGUACAUGGGGCUCACCUUGCACCAGGUAGGGGCUUCCAAAGACAGCCGGCCGUCGGGCAGACUUUGACCCGGCUUCUCGAGGCCUGUCCACACUCGCUGCUUUCCUUCCUCACCUCCAAUCUCCCCUCCAACCCACUGCUUCCUGACUCGCUCUUCUCCAUCGAACGGCUCUCGCUCAGCCACCAGGUUCAAACCCCGUUGCCCUGCCCACUCAGUGUUGCCUCAGUUUUCAAGUGAUACACGUGGGACAGGCCCCUGCUGAUGCCGUCACUUCCUGUGGGCCUGGCUUCCAGGGUCUGAGUGACCAGGGGCUAUAACCAGGUUUAUGGCUUGGCCUGCUGUGCUGGCCCCAGAGAUCCCUAAUCAUCAUUCCCUGGCCGGUUGCAUCCUUCUUCUGCCUUUUCCUGUUGUGGUCAUGUGCCAAGAGCUCCUCCUCUCCACGGAAGACCAGCUGGAGUCACCCACCGGCCAUACUGGCUGAAGAACAGCAGGUGGAAGUGACCGAUGACCCUGAGGACCCCGAGGACCCUAAGGACCUCAAGGACCCCAAGGACCCCAUGAGGCCCAGCGCCUGGACCCAGACCUUCAGGACCUGCAUUGUGCCUCCUUCACAGAUUAGGCCAAAGUCAUCACCUGGAAUCCUGUGUGCGAAGGAACCCCCGGACACAUGGACAUGGACACACACUCCCAGUACCCUCCAACUGUAAAUCGGCUGACUAGGAUGGAAGUGCCCUUGUGAGUUGGGGCCUUCAAAGGGAUGAGGAGAAAACGCAGGCUGAGGGACCAGCUUCUCAAAUCGGCUUCGAGCCCCCCAUGACCUGAGCUCACCCGCUGGAAAUGUCUGGAAAAACAUAAUGGGCAGGUUUUCUGUCUUCAAAGUUUCCGGCUAAACCUCUUCAAGUUCUUUAUUGUCUGGGACUGAGACACUCAGGGAUGGUAAUGGGAGUUUCUUUUGUAUUUGUCUUGAAAGGCCAAAAUAUUUUUAUAUUGCUGUAGACAAAGCCACCUAUUUACAAAUGAACUCCGUGUCCGGCGUUUCCCACCAGGAAGACUGUACCAUGUGUGUGUCUCUAUGUAUUCUGGGGUCUUGAAACAGGUUUCUCAUGGGGAUGGCCAUUCACCGGGGCUCAGAGGGGCAGAGGGGGAAGUGUCCACUCUGCCAAGGGGGCCUGGGGAAGGGGGGCCCUAGUCUCAGAUCUGGCCCCUGUAUGUCUGGGGUGAGCCCUGGGAGAAUCUGGUGGUAAAAGAACAUUUGCUGUGUUUGCCCCCACAUCUGCCAUUUGUGUGUGUUUCUGGGCUGUGGGUUUGCAUACUUUGGUGGUUAAGUUGGUGAGAGGAAGUAGAAAGGGCCAAGAGGGCACGGGUGCUCUGGUUUUCUUGUUGGGAGGCUGUUUCACUGGUGUCUGUUACAUCACAUAGUAAAUGUUUAGAUGGAUGAGUGAAAGAAGUGGGAAGGACUAAAGAAACAAAAAGAAUAGGAACAGAAGUAAGCAAGGUCAGGUGGGGGAGAGCACACCAACCAGUCAGUCCCUUUGACACCCAGAUGAUCAAUACGUAAAUCAAUAAAAUGUCGAGUUGAUACGUAGGACCACACACACAAGUUUAUUGACAGAAGGAAACCUAAAUAAAAAAAUGACAGGAGGAGUGGGAAGAUUUAAAGCAAUGCUGAGAUUUUGAGGUCAGAGGGAGGAAAUGACCAGAGAGAAGGAAGAAGGAAGGGACACUGAACAGAGGAAGUGAGAUCUUUAAGAGGGAUAGACCAAAGAGGGGUCCAAAGAAAACAGGAGGAGGACCCCAGGGGCUGAGACAAGAGCGUAGUCUAAGCCAACAGUUACCAAGUCUGGGUUCCCAGAGUCUCUCCAUGUGAAAGUUGGCAGAGAAAAGUAGGGUGGAUGGAUGAACAAGUAGACAUGAACAGACCUAGUUCCAGAUGAGAAAGGUGCUUUAGGUAUCUGGUCCGGGGACCUGAGACCUGCAGAGGGAAGGAACGUGAAAGAGAAGAAAAUACAGAAGGGGCUGUGGAAACGGCAGUAAAGCACUUGCUGUUCAGGCAUGAGGACUUGUUUAACCUCCCAGAAUUCAUGUACCGUUACAGUGGUACAUGCCUAUAAUCUCAGCACUGGGAGGCAGAGACAGGAGGAUCCUGGGGGCUCAGCGGCUAGUGAGUUCAGCCAAAUUAGUGAGUUCUAGGUUCAGAAAAUAAGGUGGGGAGUGAUUGAGGAACAUUCCCAAAGUCCAUGCACACACACACACACACCACACACACAACCCAGAGAUAAGAAAGGACUCAGCACAUGGUAAGUUUGAAAGUAUAAAUGAAAAUCUUGCUGCUCAACACUGCUGCUCUGUCAGUAAAACAGUGUCACAUGAGCAAGCCAUAAAGCACCCCAAGAAGCAAACGAAGGGCAGGUGAAGGGAAGGCCUGCAAGAGGGUGCUGGUGGCAUUCGUAGCUCAUCCCCUGGGUACUUUAGGUCCAUGAGAAGGCAAGCCAGGAGGUGUGGGAAGCUGUAACAAGAUAGAAAGGCAGUCACAAAAGAAAAGGGAAAAAGUAAAAAUCUACCAAGUGGGCAAAUGAAUAGCUACCCAGGAGGGCUAGGCUAGGACUAAAAUCUGAGCACCUAAUUCCACCAGCAGAGGGUUAAACACCAAAAAGAAAAGAAGGGUGGAAGGUGACAUGAGUGAAAGUGUGUGAGAGAAAGAGAUAUAGCCCUGUGGGUCGAGGAGGGAUGUUUGUAGGUGACUUUCUGAUCCAUCAGCCUAUGACAGCUGGGAAAGAGAGUCAAUGGAAAAGGAAAAGAAAUGUAAAAUGUUGGCUUGAAGAGAAGAAAGGUGAUAAUGUGUUCACAAAGGGCUAGAUGAAUCCAGAUAGAAGGCGGAAGCCUGCUAAGGACAGGACGAAAGGCCGUGUCAGCAGACUGGUCCAUUCCUAUCUGUGCUUCUGAGACGGACAAUGACCCACCCAACCAAGAGACCUUUCAGGCAUCAAUAUGUCAGGGAGGGUUUCAGUGGGGCCAGGGAGGGGAGGCCCAUUAACAGCAGAUUAUGAUGUAUCCAAUUAGGUGCACCUGCCCUCUAGAA